rnacentral:rRNA from 1 species
GACGAACGCUGGCGGCGUGCUUAACACAUGCAAGUCGAACGGAAAGGCCCUGCUUUUGUGGGGUGCUCGAGUGGCGAACGGGUGAGUAACACGUGAGUAACCUGCCCUUGACUUUGGGAUAACUUCAGGAAACUGGGGCUAAUACCGGAUAGGAGCUCCUGCUGCAUGGUGGGGGUUGGAAAGUUUCGGCGGUUGGGGAUGGACUCGCGGCUUAUCAGCUUGUUGGUGGGGUAGUGGCUUACCAAGGCUUUGACGGGUAGCCGGCCUGAGAGGGUGACCGGCCAGAUUGGGACUGAGAUAGGGCCCAGCCUCCUACGGGGGGAGGCAGGGGGGAAUAUGGCACAAGGGGGGGAGGCCUGAGGCAGCCGCGCCGCGUGCGGGAUGACGGCCUUGGGUUUGUAAACCGCUUUCGCUUGUGACGAAGCGUGAGGGAGGGUAAUGGGUAAAGAAGCACGGGCAAACUACGUC